UCCAUGUGAUGAUGAUAUGCUCCCUGACACUCAGCUGGAGGUCAAACUGAUUUAAUGAGCCUGAUGG